GAUCCCAGAACAUCAGGUUGCAGGCCACAAAGCCUGUCAUGGACUCCUUGGCGCUCUCAUGGAUGAUUCUGGGCGCUUCUACAAACCUCUUCAAGAUGAUGAGCGUGGCCCUAGAGAAGUGACCUUUUAUGCAUCCUUCUCAUCCAAUACAAUGGUUCCAGAUCAAAUCCGCAAUUCUUUUCUAUCUUCUAUGGAACUCAACUCUUAGAGGCAUCUGAUGGAUCUG
rnacentral:misc_RNA from 1 species